UACGUAGGGUGCAAGCGUUGUCCGGAAUUAUUGGGCGUAAAGAGCUCGUAGGCGGUUUGUCGCGUCUGCUGUGAAAACCCGAGGCUCAACCUCGGGCCUGCAGUGGGUACGGGCAGACUAGAGUGCGGUAGGGGGAGAUUGGAAUUCCUGGUGUAGCGGUGGAAUGCGCAGAUAUCAGGAGGAACACCAAUGGCGAAGGCAGAUCUCUGGGCCGUAACUGACGCUGAGACGCGAAAGCGUGGGGAGCGAACAGG
rnacentral:rRNA from 1 species